GACGUAGGGCGCGAGCGUUGUCCGGAUUUAUUGGGCGUAAAGAGCUCGUAGGCGGCUUGUCGCGUCGAAUGUGAAAUCCCGUGGCUCAACUGCGGGUCUGCAUUCGAUACGGGCAGGCUAGAGUUCGGUAGGGGAGACGUGGAAUUCCUGGUGUAGCGGUGAAAUGCGCAGAUAUCAGGAGGAACACCGGUGGCGAAGGCGGGUCUCUGGGCCGA
rnacentral:rRNA from 1 species